rnacentral:tRNA from 1 species
GGUCGCAUGGCUCAGUUGGUAGAGCAUAUCGUUCACAUCGAUGAGGUCACAGGUUCGAGUCCUGUUGCGACCACCA